UACGGGGGGGGCAAGCGUUGUUCGGAAUUACUGGGCGUAAAGGGCGCGUAGGCGGCUUGGCAAGUGGAAGGUGAAAUCCCUCGGCUUAACCGAGGAACUGCCCUCCAAACUGCUUCGCUUGAGACCGGGAGAGGUGAGUGGAAUUCCCAGUGUAGCGGUGAAAUGCGUAGAUAUUGGGAGGAACACCAGUGGCGAAGGCGGCUCACUGGACCGGUACUGACGCUGAUGCGCGAAAGCGUGGGGAGCAAACGGGG
rnacentral:rRNA from 1 species